rnacentral:rRNA from 1 species
CCUACGGGUGGCAGCAGUGAGGAAUAUUGGUCAAUGGGCGCGAGCCUGAACCAGCCAAGUAGCGUGAAGGAUGACUGCCCUACGGGUUGUAAACUUCUUUUAUAAAGGAAUAAAGUGAGGCACGUGUGCCUUUUUGUAUGUACUUUAUGAAUAAGGAUCGGCUAACUCCGUGCCAGCAGCCGCGGUAAUACGGAGGAUACGAGCGUUAUCCGGAUUUAUUGGGUUUAAAGGGUGCGUAGAUGGGUUGUUAAGUCAGUUGUGAAAUUUUGGGGGUUAAACGUAAAAGUGCAAUUGAUACUGGCAGUCUUGAGUACAGUUGAGGUAGGCGGAAUGCGCGGUGUAGCGGUGAAAUGCAUAGAUAUCACGAAGAACUCCGAUUGCGAAGGCAGCUUACUAAACUGCCACUGACAUUGAUGCACGAAAGUGUGGGGAUCAAACAGGAUUAGAUACCCUUGUAGUC